rnacentral:rRNA from 1 species
UACAGAGACUGCAAGCGUUAUUCGGAUUCACUGGGCGUAAAGGGUGCGCAGGCGGCCAAGUGUGUGAGGUGUGAAAGCCCGGGGCUUAACCCCGGAAUUGCACCUCAAACUACUUGGCUAGAGCAUUGGAGAGGGUAGCAGAAUUCACGGUGUAGCAGUGAAAUGCGUAGAUAUCGUGAGGAAUACCAGAGGCGAAGGCGGCUACCUGGACAAUGCUGACGCUCAGGCACGAAAGCGUGGGGAGCAAACAGG